UGGUAAUCAGGGCUUGUUUAAUAACAAAACUCCAGCUAUUGUAGAACAAUAUUCUCCGGCAUCAUUGUAAUAUACAAUACAGGGAAUGCUCUCAGCAAUCUGAGAAGGUUAUGAGCCGCGGCCGUCGGCUCCGCGGGGGCGUCCAUUCCGUGCCCUUCGGCACAGCCCACAGCUGCGGGUCCCGUCCGUGCCCGGGGGGGCCCCGUUCGGGUCCGUGGAGGUCUCUCUCAGCGGCACAGUAUGCGGUCGGCAGCGGCCAUGCACGGAGCCUCGGGAGGCUCAGCAGCAGCGGGGGGUCGGGGAGGGCCGGGCUGCAGCGCCAGCUGCAGGUCCCAGAUGUAGUCGAUCACGUGCUGCAGGAGCUCCACUUUAGAGACCCUCCGGUGCCGCGGCAGCGUGGGCACCAGCGCCCGGAGUCGCGAGUAGCAGCCCUUCAUGUCAUACAGCAGCGCGGCGGCCGCCUGCUCAGCAGCGACAGCUCCCGGGCCCGGCCCGCAGCGAGCGGCUUCCCCGGGCCGCACGGCCUUCAGUGCCCCACCGGGACCGGCGGGCAGCGGCGAAGGGGCGGCAGCGGCGACCUUCAUAGCGACGAGAAGCAAUGGGACCCCGCG
rnacentral:lncRNA from 1 species